rnacentral:rRNA from 1 species
GAUGAACGCUGGCGGCGUGCCUAAUACAUGCAAGUCGAGCGAACAGACGAGGAGCUUGCUCCUCUGACGUUAGCGGCGGACGGGUGAGUAACACGUGGAUAACCUACCUAUAAGACUGGGAUAACUUCGGGAAACCGGAGCUAAUACCGGAUAAUAUAUUGAACCGCAUGGUUCAAUAGUGAAAGACGGUUUUGCUGUCACUUAUAGAUGGAUCCGCGCCGCAUUAGCUAGUUGGUAAGGUAACGGCUUACCAAGGCAACGAUGCGUAGCCGACCUGAGAGGGUGAUCGGCCACAACGGAACCGAGAAAAGGUUCCGAAUCCUAAGGGGGGCCGCAGUAGGGAAACUUACGCAAUGGGCGAAAACCUGGAGGAGCAAAGGCGCGUGAGUGAUGAAGGUCCUCGGAACGGAAAACCCUGUUAUUAGGGAAGAACAAAUGUGUAAGUAACUAUGCACGUCUUGACGGUACCUAAUCAGAAAGCCACGGCUAACUACGUG